AGGAGAGAACGCUGGGUUGAAGUGGCUUAUUGGAGUCCUAGGUGGAAACUGUGGCAGAGCCUGGAGCCCUUCUUCCUUGUUCGGGCAAGGCUGUCCCAGUGCUCGGGCUGCUUUUGUGGAGGGCUGGUCCGCUCUGCCUGGCAGGAAGAGGGAAGGAACACACAAGGUGAUCACAGAUUGUGACCAACGCUGUGAAGAAAAGAAACAGCUUGAUGCUGUAACAACUGGGGAAGGACUCUCUGGGGAGAAGAUGAGAGUGGACCAGCCCAAGGAAAAGUAUUCCAGGCAGAAGGAACAGCAGGUGCAAAGGCCCAGAGGAGGAACGUUGAUGAGGAACAAAAACACAGCUAGACGUCAGUGAAGGUUGGAGAGUUAGAGUAAGUUGGAUCCUGCCAGGCCUAUUUGGCCACAGCAGAUUUAAGAAAGAGGAAGCUCUUGAAGGAUUUUAAACACGGGGAGAGGUAAUUUGCCAUUGCGUUGUCUGAAGUUCCUUGCAGGACAAAGACCCUUCCUUGGCGGGGUGGGUACUUAAACCCAGUCAAGACCAACCCAUCCUCCAAAUUAGUCUUGUGCUCUACCAGGCUUUUAGAAUAGGUCCAAUCUUCAUCAGAAAGCAUAGGGUUUGCUUUGUGCCAACCUGGCCCUCCAGUUCUGUAGGGAGCAGGUGUUGAACCACGGGCAGCAGACAUCACUGUAGCCUUGGAUGUAGUUUAUUACAGUGCGGGAGCACUGUCCUGUGAUGUGGUGGGGGACUCAGCAUUACUGAACUUAGCAAGGCCGCUGGCCAGGGGCAGAACCUAUCAUUUGAAAUACGUAUAAUUAUUUUGCUUAUUUAUGCCUUCUGUCUUUAGACUGUGAGUGCUGAGAAGCCAAAGACCACCUGGACUUUUAUCCCUGUGUUUCCAGUGCUUGCCUGCAGCAGGUACUCCACAGACACUUGUGAAAGCGUGGAGGAUUGGAGGAAAAGGGCAGCGGUAAUUUAGCUCUGCUUUUGUAGGAAACAGAAAGGGGAAGAGGACUUGUAAGCAGUAAAAUAUAAACAUCAAAACAACCUACAUUUGCUUCUGCAGAAAUGCUUGUUUUGAAGGUAGGAAUUUGUUCUAACGCAGUUUAAAGGAGCGUACCUACAUUCCCCAGUGAAAAACACAAAGCAAAAUUCCGAACCAGGGGUUCCCGUUGUGGUGCAGUGGUUAACGAAUCCCACUAGGAACCAUGAGGUUGUGGGUUCAACUCCUGGCCUUGCUCAGUGGGUUGGGGAUCCGGCGUUGCCGUGAGCUGUGGUGUGGGUCUCAGACGCGGCUGGGAUCCCGCGUUGCUGUGGCUGUGGUGUGGGUGGCAGACACGGCUGGGAUCCUGCAUUG
rnacentral:lncRNA from 1 species